GAGUAAGUAAACCCUCCCGCCGCUCUUAAACGUACCCCGCCACCCAGUGCCGGACCGCAGUUGGCGGUUCCGUGCACACCCCUAUUCCAGGCUAGAUCCAAGGUGCUGGUCCUGACCUUUAAAGCCCUCCACGGCUUGGGGCCGGGGUACCGGUCGGACCGCAUUCACCCCUAUGAAUCUGCCAGUCUCCUUCAGGAAGCUUCCCCAGACAAGCCUGCCUCCUUCCUCUUGCAGUGCCUGUGCCUCUCCCCGACAUACGAGCUGGCGCUUCAGACGGGCAAGGUGAUUGAGCAGAUGGGCAAAUUCUACCCAGAGCUGAAGCUGGCCUACGCCAGCUAGUUAAAACAUGGCUCUAGUGUAUUGUAAAGAAAUGAUUGGUGUGAGCCUCAGUCUGCCUCUCGGCUCCCGCCAUUAUGUAGGAAAGGGGCAGAAGCCGUCUCGUGCAGGAGGAAGCAGAGGAGUGGAAAGCUACCGACUGGGUCUGCUGGGGGCGGCAACCGUCACCUCCCGCCGGGGUCUGAUGCCUACCCCAGUGGCAGCGGAGCCUCUGUGUGGCGGAGGAAGUCUGGGCACACACUGAAAAGAUGCGGAAAAGAUGAAGACUUCUGGGGAAAGAGGCAAAGGGGAGCUGCCGGCGCUGAAGAAGUGGACCACGAGCCAGAGCGAAGGGGAGCCACGCGAUUGGUCCACUCAGCGCGGCGAUGAUCAGCACCCUCCGGUGCCCACUGCUGCCUACCCCAGUGGCAGAGGAGCCUCUGUGGGGUGGAGGGAAAGAAAACCGGCAGCUGAUUUCUCCUCUUCUUCUGAGCUUCAACAAAUGGCUUGCCCUUUGCAUUUGGGAAGCAGAGGAGGACCUGGAGGAGGACCUGAACUUGUUUCAAGUUGUCUUAGCAGGUUUGGGGAACAGGUGAGACCUCGGAAAGUAGCAGAGACAUGUUUGGGAGAAUGGGGGAGGGGGGCAGUGACCUUUGAAGAGCUGCUUUCAAAGCUGCUUCUUUCUGGUAUUCCACCUCCUGCUGGCACAGGAGACCUGAGCCUGCAGGAGCUGCUCCACAAGAUCUCCAAGUGUCUGGUAAGAGCAGCCCCUCCCUGCCUGCCCCUUGAGUCUGCUGGGACUCAAGGGCACCUGGGCAGCACUUUAUUCCACCAGGAUUGGCCUUUGCUCAUGACCCCAGAUUCGGCAGCUCAGCUCCGGGAACUCCGUGGAGAUGGAGGCUUCCAACAUCCUGGGGUUCCUCUGCAGCGAGCAGGCUGGAGUGAGGAGAAUGGCUGCCAAGCGGAUCGGUAAGUGAAACAGGACAUUGGGGUCUCCCUUGGUGGGUCAUCUAGGGGGGAACAUUUCACUCUCUUUGAGGGCACUGUCAGAAGGGUGUGGAGGUUCAAGAGACGUUCCCCUCCCAGCAGCAACUCUACGCACCCCAUCAGUACUUAAUGCCUACCCCAGUGGAAACAGAAUGACAAUGCCAAGGGUGGGGCGGGGCCCUAGAGGUCUUCCAGUCCUUGCUCAAGACCAUGUCAGACGCAGCUCGUGCCAUGAAAGAGGCUCAUCAGCACAUGGAUAUCGACAAGGUGGGCGACCUGAUGUCUGAGAUCACAGAGCAGCAGGAUAUCGCCCAACAGAUAUCCGAUGUGAUCUCCAAGCCCGUAGGCUUUGGUGACGACGUUGACGAGGACGAGCUGCUGGCUGAGCUGGAGGGGAUGGAGCAAGAAGACCUUGACCAAGAGCUGCUUGGAGUGCUUUAAAAGAACUUCAGGAGGAAGGCAAGCCUUCCUUCACAUGAGAUGACCCUUGGUGGGUCAUCUAGGGGGAAACGUUUCACUCUCUUUGAGGGCACUGUCAGAAGGGUGUGGAGGUUCAAGACACGUUCCCCUCCCGGCAGCAACUCUACGUACCCAUCAGUACUUAAUGCCUACCCCAGUGGAAACAGACUGACAAUGGCAAGGGUGGGACGGGGCCCUAGAGGUCUUCCAGUCCUUCUCAUGAUCGGGGUGCAGUUAAUGUAGCUAGGAUUGUAUUGGCUUUUUUUAGCAGCUGCAUCACACUACUGGCUCGUAUUCAACUUGUGGCCCAUCGAGGUCCUCUUCCUUUUCACACAUACAGCCUUCAUAGCUCCAAAAAUGCUGGGUCCUCAGCUCUCACUGAGGGAAAGUAAAAGCUCAAUGCAUUCCCAGUACCUGAGGACUAAACUGUCACAGAACAAUAAAAUCAAACCACCUCCCUAGAACUGAGAGGGGCAGCAGGGUGGGACCCUGACACAGGGUGAGAGAGAGCUGGGCAGAACCCCAGGUGAGAGAGGGCUUAGAGACACCAGGAGAUAGAGGACUCGCUCGGAUAGGGCACGGAUGAGCCAGUGACUAUGGAUGGUUAAGGCUAGGGAUAGGAUCUCUAGUGAGGGUCUCUGGCUUGGUUAUUGGGAGGUGGGUAGUAAGUUGUACACACCAGUGUCCGGUCCGGAAGCGUGACUCUUAUGUAUGAACUCGUUUUGGGCAGUAUAAAAAUGUUUUAAUAAAUAAAAUAAAAUAAUAUACAUGGAAUUUCACCCAGGGUGGUUGUUUCCAGUAAAAGGGCUACGAGUCAGGGAACGCUUCUGGAAUCCAACACAGGCAUCUCAGUAACCUAUACAGUAAGUCCAGCCUCUAUAGAGGCUACGUUUGAAACAUUAUUCUAGAAACUAUUCCGCGUGUAAAGCCCUGCUUUGGCAGAGAGAAACCUUUAAGCUAUUUGUACAUCUACAAACUUGCCGUUGUUUUAGUUUGAAGUUCACUCAGUGUCCUGUGAGCGAUAUUUCUCCCCACACAGCCCUCAGUUAUACUUUGAAGGGGUUGUCAGGGCACAAAGCUAAGCCAGAAGAGCUUGGUGGUGGCAGCAGAAGCUUGAUAAAGGGAGGACGAGCUCAGAACAUCAUUCUCAGUAGACUGAAUCAUUGACACUUACCUGAAGGGUCAUUCUCCUCAGAAGUAUGGGUUGUAUCCGAGGAUCAUGGGAUUGCCUCGACCUCCUUCUCCAGACAGGGCCAGAGAUCAGAACAUCAUUAUCAGUAGAACUGGUCCACCAAGUUAAAAGGUUAUUAAGUUCUCCAGUUCUGGGAAGAGAUCCCCUCAUUAGCAGUGUCUCAGAGUGGUGAGCAGGAUAUGGCUCCCCACUCUCUUUAAAGCUUCUUGGAACGGAUUAAGGCUAAUUUAUUAUUCUUAAUUUUCCUCCAAAGCACGUUGUGACGAACUACAACAGCUUUGCAUCCACUAGGAAGCAGAACUCAAGAAGCAGAAGCAAUAUUACACAAGAAUCAUAACAACAAAAGAAAGAGAGAACAAUGACCUGAAAAGGUUUUUAGAAGAAAUGAUAGGUUUGCUGGAAAGUAACCUAAAUCUGAACACGUUGGGAUUAACUACGACAGCUUUGCAUCCACUAUGAAUCGGAAAUUAAGAAGCAAAAGCAAUAUUACACAAGAAUCAUAAUAGAAAAGGGAAGAAAACAAUGAACAGAAAAGGUUAUUAGAAGAAAUGAAAGGAGCUGGGUUGCCAGAGUUUGUCCGAGGUACAUGCCUAUCACUUGUGGCUUGGGCGGACGAGAUCUUGGGCAAGAGAAGCACCCCUCCUGUCCGUGCUCAGCCCUCUAAGGCACGUGCGCUGUGUGUGCGCUCACAC